rnacentral:rRNA from 1 species
AUUGAACGCUGGCGGCAUGCCUUACACACGCAAGUCGAACGGUAACAGCUCUUCGGAUGCUGACGAGUGGCGAACGGGUGAGUAAUACAUCGGAACGUGCCUAGUAGUGGGGGAUAACUACUCGAAAGAGUGGCUAAUACCGCAUGAGAUCUACGGAUGAAAGCAGGGGAUCGCAAGACCUUGUGCUACUAGAGCGGCCGAUGGCAGAUUAGGUAGUUGGUGGGAUAAAAGCUUACCAAGCCGACGAUCUGUAGCUGGUCUGAGAGGACGAUCAGCCACACUGGGACUGGGACACGGCCCAGACUCCUACGGGAGGCAGCAGUGGGGAAUUUUGGACAAUGGGCGAAAGCCUGAUCCAGCAAUGCCGCGUGCAGGAUGAAGGCCUUCGGGUUGUAAACUGCUUUUGUACGGAACGAAAAGCCCUGGGUUAAUACCCUGGGGUCAUGACGGUACCGUAAGAAUAAGCACCGGCUAACUACGUGCCAGCCGCCGCCGUAA